GGGGCCAUAGCUCAGCUGGGAGAGCACCUGCCUUGCACGCAGGGGGUCAGCGGUUCGAUCCCGCUUGGCUCCACCA
rnacentral:tRNA from 50 species